rnacentral:rRNA from 1 species
ACGCGCGGAACCUUACCAGGUCUUGACAUCCUCUGACACUCCUAGAGAUAGGACGUUCCCCUUCGGGGGACAGAGUGACAGGUGGUGCAUGGUUGUCGUCAGCUCGUGUCGUGAGAUGUUGGGUUAAGUCCCGCAACGAGCGCAACCCUUGAUCUUAGUUGCCAGCAUUUAGUUGGGCACUCUAAGGUGACUGCCGGUGACAAACCGGAGGAAGGUGGGGAUGACGUCAAAUCAUCAUGCCCCUUAUGACCUGGGCUACACACGUGCUACAAUGGAUGGUACAAAGGGCUGCAAGACUGCGAAGUCAAGCCAAUCCCAUAAAACCAUUCUCAGUUCGGAUUGCAGGCUGCAACUCGCCUGCAUGAAGCCGGAAUCGCUAGUAAUCGCGGAUCAGCAUGCCGCGGUGAAUACGUUCCCGGGCCUUGCACACACCGCCCGU